GAAUUAUUUGGGAGGAAGGCUGCUCAUGGGACAAGUCAUUUUACCUUCCAGGAGAGAUUCAACACUGGCCAUUGACUAUAUGUGCAGCACACACUUCUUCUGAAGGCUUGAGGCAUCUACCGUGUGACAGAUCAUGAAUCAAAUGACCUGCAAGCUUAGAGAGCCUUUCUCAGCCCUGCCACAUGCAGCUAUGUUGAUGCUGAUGUGACUGAUUUUACUUCCUUCCCUUUAUUCACCAACAGAGAGGUCGCUAUCACACCACCAACUUCUGUUGCUUAGGUCCUGGCUUAUGAAGAAUAGACUCUGGGAGCACAUUGGAAAUCAACACUCUUGCCUUAUGAUGCAGGACAGAUGCUGAAAUUCUCUUAAGAGUAGCUUUAUGAUUAUUUUCUUUGGAAACAUGGAUUAACUCACUUGCCAUCUUCAGGCAGAAGAAAAACCUCAUCCCCUCCCCACCCCACCCCAUCCCUUUUAGAUUCUGCAACUCUGUAUUCUGAAUUUUUGUUAAGAAAAUCUACAAAUUAGAAAUAUCAUUUUAGGGACAAUCAAUAUCAGGUUUCAAUAUAACAGCAACUGUUAAAUAAGAGAAAAUACCUACUUUCAAAGCCC
rnacentral:lncRNA from 1 species